UACGUAGGGGGCAAGCGUUGUCCGGAUUUAUUGGGCGUAAAGAGCGUGUAGGCGGCUAGAUAGGUCUGUUGUGAAAACUCGAGGCUCAACCUCGAGACGCCGAUGGAAACCAUUUGGCUAGAGUCCGGAAGAGGAGAGUGGAAUUCCUGGUGUAGCGGUGAAAUGCGCAGAUAUCAGGAAGAACACCCGUGGCUAAGGCGGCUCUCUAGAACGGUACUGACGCUGAGACGCGAAAGCGUGGGGAGCGAACAGG
rnacentral:rRNA from 1 species